rnacentral:lncRNA from 1 species
AUAUUACUCGUAUCCACCCACCCUGACCAGUGCUCCAAUGUUUUUAAAAAGAUGACUUCGGUCGUAAUUCUCUUUCUCUAAUCAUUGUGGCCAAGAUCUCCACCAUCCUGCACAACCGAUUGAAGUCAUCCUGAUGGCCAACAGUCUGCUCCACAUGCGGUAUCUGGGAUAUAGAAGGAAGCCUAGGAUAGGUAGUGGGUGGCACAACUGAGAAUGAGGGCAGCCCUUGGAAGACUGAGAGUGGCACAUGCUAGAAUGACGGUGCCCAGCAGGGUUGAUUUCUUUUUGUUUUACCAAUUCAAAUAAAUCAAUUCUUAUUUUGUAAGAACAUGAAGUUAGAUUAUGGAUUGUUAAUUAUAGAUUUAGUUGGAAUUUUUUAUAAUGGUUGCAAAU